CCGGCGUUCUUUUGUGUUCCGUCUGCAUUUCGACACGGCACCGCUGUACUACUGGACUACAGCAAGCUGAUGGCAUCCGGUGGAGCUUCGCACGGCAACGACUGCUGCUUACCUGGUGCCCCAACUUUGGAUUAAUGUAGAAGAAGCCCGGAACGAGUAUUUAUAUACAGCAAAAUAAACAUUUCAUCAUUUCAGAAGA
rnacentral:lncRNA from 1 species